UCUCCGUUGGUGAACCAGCGGAGGGAUCAUUACAGAGUUUUCACAACUCCAAAACCUUGCGAACCGUAGCCGUUCUGGUAUCGUUGCUUCCGGCGGGGGCGAAGGGGGGGCCCGAAACGACAUACGCGCCGCGCCCGCCGGGGGUGGCGGGCCCUCAAGAGCUUUAUGUCUACACCACCAGAAAAGGUCAGUCAGAACAUACUAAAAAUCCAAAGCUUAAAACAACGGAUCUCUUGCGUAUGGCAUCUAUGAAGAACGCAGCAGAUCGGACGAGCACGC
rnacentral:misc_RNA from 1 species